UACGUAGGGGGCUAGCGUUGUCCGGAAUCAUUGGGCGUAAAGAGCGUGUAGGCGGCCAGGUAGGUCUGCUGUGAAAACUCGAGGCUCAACCUCGAGACGUCGGCGGAAACCAUCUGGCUAGAGUCCGGAAGAGGAGAGUGGAAUUCCUGGUGUAGCGGUGAAAUGCGCAGAUAUCAGGAGGAACACCAAUGGCGAAGGCAGCUCGCUGGGAAGUGACUGACGCUGAGACGCGAAAGCGUGGGGAGCAAACAGG
rnacentral:rRNA from 1 species